GUGGAGGUGAUGACAAGCUAAACCUUGACUGUUUGUGAUGUUCAGGUAUUCAUACUGUCUGAUCCAC